rnacentral:rRNA from 1 species
GACGAACGCUGGCGGCGUGCUUAACACAUGCAAGUCGAACGGAAAGGCCCUGCUUUUGUGGGGUGCUCGAGUGGCGAACGGGUGAGUAACACGUGAGUAACCUGCCCUUGACUUUGGGAUAACUUCAGGAAACUGGGGCUAAUACCGGAUAGGAGCUCCUGCUGCAUGGUGGGGGUUGGAAAGUUUCGGCGGUUGGGGAUGGACUCGCGGCUUAUCAGCUUGUUGGUGGGGUAGUGGCUUACCAAGGCUUUGACGGGUAGCCGGCCUGAGAGGGUGAUCGGCCACAUUGGGACUGAGAUACGGACCAGACUCCUACGGGAGGCAGCAGUGGGGAAUAUUGCACAAUGGGCGGAAGCCUGAUGCAGCAACGCCGCGUGCGGGAUGACGGCCUUCGGGUUGUAAACCGCUUUCGCCUGUGACGAAGCGUGAGUGACGGUAAUGGGUAAAGAAGCACCGGCUAACUACGUG